rnacentral:misc_RNA from 1 species
UAAACAUAGUUCUAACAUGUGGUAGUAUGGCAGAGAGCAACUGCGAACGAGAUUCUAUUUAACAUAACGAACGAGAAUUCUGAGUGAGUAUGAUUAGUGGUGCAUGAUCAAAGGAGCUUCAGUGGUAGAGCUCCUAUGUCGAGACUGGCAAUCCGACAAAGGUUCUAUAAAAUCGUCGCGAUCCACGUAGUGGGCCGAAGACAAGAUUAGAAAGAACCAUAAAGCAAAAGAACUCGCUCUUAUAAAGGAACUACGCUAAUCCAGAAAAAUGUCUGGUGAUUAGUGUGAGUAAAUGGUUAAAAUUAUCUUGAUAAUUCUAACAGUACGAACGAGAUUCCUACUAUUCAUUCAAUGUUGCUUUCUCCAUAUCUAUUCGCAUACAUCUGCCCUAUAAAACUUGAGAGCUUGCUCUCCACCGUCGUUCAGAUGGUUGACUAUUAAUAUACCCUUUGUUGUGAACUGGUACUCUUUCCGAGCUAAAAUGGUAACGACUAGCUUCGGUAUGGUCUGAGUAUCGGUUGGCUAUGGCCACACACCUAGCGGUACCGUUGUUACUAAAUACACCCCUAUUCUUUCUACUAUAUUGUGGUUCCAAAGAGAACUACUCUCUCUGCUCCGCCUUCUUCGGAUGUAUGCGGUUGUGGGGGUUGGCGCCCCGUAAAAAGGGAAGAAGCCUUCUUUAUUA